GGUGUCAUGGUGAGUCAAGAAACAUUUUGGCUCAUGGUUACAAAUUAUGCGUUUACUGUAUUCAUCUUCGUGCAUGCACACAUGCAAUGUUUUAAAAAGCAUCUGUUGAGUGUCUACGGCACAACACACACGUUCUGGUGCUGGAGAUCCUGCCCUGGCUGAGCUUCUGGACCUGGUGGGGAGAAAUCCACAAUGAGUACUGAGACGACUGGCAAAAGCCCAGUGAAGGCACCUAGGAGUAGGGCCUGCUUACCCUGGAGGAGUCGGGAGCAGCUUCCAGAGCAAGGAGGCUUCUAAGGUACCCAAAAGCACAAGAGACAGUGAAUGGAAAGUGCUUGGAAGCCCCGUGCCCAGGUAGUGCUGGCCCCAGCUGAACUGCGGGGAUAGAUGUUGAGUGUCCAGGUUCUAGCAUCAUGGAACAGAAUCCGGCCUGUUGGGAAAUCCUGCCUACAAGUAUACCUCCAUUAAUUAGUGUCUUCUGUGAACAUUUUUAUUAAAAAAAGAAGAAAAGCUC
rnacentral:lncRNA from 1 species